AAAAUACCAUCGUAAGUUGCUAUUUCUCCACAGGACCCAUUCCACCAGCGAUAGCUCAGAGUAGCGGCGACGGACCCUUUUCUUGAUUGGCCUCCAAAACAUUCCCACCCAAACCCAAAUCACCAUCUUGGAAUCCCACUGUUAUCUUCCACAGACCAAGCGCUGAUGCUGCUGCGCCUUCGAGAUGUUCUAUUGAAAACUGGUCAAAUUCUGCCUGCAGUCGCAGAUUCGGAGAUUGAAUGCGAAUGUGAAGAAGAAGAAGAUUCUGCCACCGCAGUCUCUUGCUUUUUCUCCCCGUCAUGAAAAGUGUGAAGAAACGUAAAUGACCUCAGCAUAUCUCAGAUGAUCUACUUUUAGGGAUGGCCGAAGGAUUUCUGAUUUUGCAGCAAGUGGAAAACUAUUUCAAGCUUUGUUUACAAUAAGACCGGACAUUAGAAUUUUGUGCAGAAA